GUUUUACAGCGCAGAGAAAACCAUCCCCGCACGCCCCUCCACGAUCCCUACCCGAUUCACGCAUCUCACCCUCCCUCCUGCACGAGCAUCCGCCGCCGCCGAUGCGUUGGCUGCCUCCCUCCCCCAUCGCCGGCCACCUCUCGCCCCUCAUAGCCGGUCGCCUCCCUCCACCGGAUGCCGACCACCUACUUCACCGCGCCGACCGCCUACAUCCCAGCCGCCGGCCAUGACCAGAUCCACACCGGCGUUCCCGCAUCGGCGCCACCACGACCACGCAGCGGCAGAGGAGUCCUCCUCCUCCCACCACCACCGCGCCCUCCUCCUUCCACCUCCACACCCAUCCAUCCCUCCCUGCUCGCGCCCGAAACCCUAGCCCGCGGGCGGCCAUGGUGACCGAGCUCAGGAUCCGUAGCAUCUUCCUCUCCUCCGAGAGCAAGAGCGGCAACGUCCGCAAGGUCAGUUUGCUCCCUCCGAUCUGCUCUGCUGGCGUGAAGGGGCCCGGCCAAGGAGAAGCUGCUGCUGCUGCAGGUUCUUCCUCCUCCCCGCUGUAGGUGGUACCUCGAAGGUCAAGAGACCAAGGUAUCGUGAGGAGUGCAUAUGGCCUGAUGUUCCUUGUGUGUAUCGUGAGGAUUUGGGAGCAUCGGCGACGGACAAUUAACUAGCUAGGUCAUGGUAUUACGAUUUGCCAGGUCAUGGUACACAGGCUAACUACACAAGCUUCUGCUGUUUUAUUGUUGGUCGUUCCCGUCCACUGCUGCCAACAGUCAAUUUUCUGCAGGGUUUUUAUUUCUUUCUCUUCCAUCGAAAGCUCCUUUUUGCCACUGAUUAAUUAGUUGAUGCAUGUGGAGAUUUUCGAUACUAGGAGAACCAAGUUUAAAUAUGUGCAAUUCCAUCUAUCUAGCAUCAAUGUCGGGUGAGGUUAGACUACAAGAAAGACUAGAUAUUAAGCUUGUCCAUUCUGUCUACACCUUUUGAAUCUGAAGUGACUACUGUUGUAAAUAAUGCUACUUGAGUACCUGGUUGAUUGGUUUUGUUUAUUGUGGCAUUGAGUAGCCUACUACAUUAGUGGUGUCAGCUAUAUUUUGUAAGUUUGUUAUCGAUUCCAUUUGGGUAUAUGUGUGUGUGAUUGAAAAAUAAUGGUUUAGAUAUGAAUUGCUACAGUUUUUUAUAAUACUCUUUGAUCUAUGCUGCUAGGUCUGCCGCUGCGUGCAUGACAACAUGAGGUGCCGCAAUCGGCGUGGUAUGCUGGUGGAUGAUGGCGACAGUGAGAUGGUUGGCAAGGAUUAUGAGAGGUCGGCGAGCAGCACUCCUUCCUCUCUUCCCUGUGGAGAAGAUGACCUGCAGCUCAUUGACUGCUGAGUUCCCUCGAGUCUCUCUUUCUUCCGGCAAGGUAAAGUUCAGUUUUCUGGUGACCAUGUUUAUUAAAUUCUUUGGUAGAAUCCAUAUUGAUUCUAAGAUGACAUUAUAGUGCAUUUUUGUCCAGACAUAUGAUUUUUCAUCAUCUGGUGUAUGUCGAUAUAGCACAGCCCACACAUACCCUCCUACCCUGAGUAAAUCUGAAUCCCCAUAUUUCAGUUCUGAACUCCAAAAUGUCGUACUCAAAUGGCUUGACCCCAGAUCCAUGUUCUGGACUCUUGAUAUUUUGUGAGGCCUUUUCAUUUAGCUGCUCAAUCUACAUAUGCAGAAAACCACUCUCUGGAUGCGUGCAUUUCUGGCUGUACCUGAAGCUCUCUCCAACAAUCUCCUUCUCCAUCCAUACUUAUUUCAUAAACCAAAACCUUGCGUUUAUCACAAUACCUAUUUUAAGCUCACUCAGGAUGACAAAUAUAGUCACAAAGUUUUCUGGUUCUUCGGUGUUGAUAAAAAGAACACCUUUUUUCUAUUUCCUCUGAUCCUUGUUUAGUAACUACAACUCUCAUGUUGUAUUUGCUUUUACUGUUUCACCUCACCGUGAGUAUCUUUUUGACUCAUUCUUUGCUCACUAUUGUUCAGAUUCUACAUCAAGGCUUGUGGCUUACCUUAUGGAUCUUAAUUAAGUCACCCCUUGUAAUUUCCUGAGGUGCUACCUCAUCAUUCUUAGGUGGCUCCUUUUUUUCCAUUUUGUGGCAGUUGAUAGUUGUGUAGUACAUGGAUGAGGGACCUACUUAUUUAGCCUAUCAAAGAAUUAUCUCACUAGAUGUACGUAGGGAAAGAGAGCUCUUAUAUUGACACUCCUAGCACUUGAUAUAGGGUAAGCUUUUUUUCAAGUUGUUUAUAAUCUUGUGCUGGAAAAUAACAAUCAUAGAUUGCUAGGCAUUUGCCAUAAUGCCAUGCUAACUGAAAAUUGAUGUAAUCUCUGGUCUAAAAUGUCGUAGCUUGUUCUUUUGUACUUUCAUACACUCGUACUGACUACACAUAAUGUCAAAUGAUGCGAGUGUCAGUAUAUAUCAUCUAUGGAGUUGCUUGUGCUAUUGGAAUUUCACCAGUUGCUCCAGAGGUAUGCUUUGUGAAAAUACUUCAUUAGUAUAUCAUCAUUAAAUGAUGCACUGUUGUUUUAUAGUGGAGUGUGAUAUAGAUCAGAUUUCAUUUUGUAUUCAUUUCUGCUAUUGUUUCCUCUGUUCCUUUGAUGGUUUCGACGACUCUUACUAUAUAUAAUACCAUAAAAUAUAGUUUUUCAAUCACACACGCAAUUUACAGUGGCGAGCUACCAGAAUUUUUGUGUGUCAAAAAACAGAGUUUUGAGUGGUUCUGUACUCUUUCGAAUGUAAUUUUUUUUUGAAAAUUUCAAGAAUUUCUUCCAGUUUUAUAAACUGAACUCCUGCAUUAAGGUGUCCAGAAUUGUUUUACAAUGUGGAGUUUUGUGAAUCCAAAAAAAAUGAUUAGCAUAGAUAACCACUACAUACAGUACAUGUAGGUUGGUUAUGCAUGGAGAAUGAGGUUAGUAUUGUUAGAAGUUAGAACUGGGAGUUUUCCAGCACAUGACGGUUGCGGCCGUCUUCCAGCAUAUUGUUGCUUUUCAGCAGAACAAGAUGUUCGUCUCUUUGUCUUAUGGACUUCAAUAAGGUCGAUGGUAGCUUGCUGAAUAGGUUAAGGGAGACCCCACAGAUUUCUAAUGACCACACAGGGUAUUCUUGCUGGCGCCGCUGCUGGCAGAGGCGCGUGGUUGACAGGAGGAGCCGGGGAGUCAUGACGGUGGACAUGUGGAUGUUAUCAUGGCAUUGACACAUUUCGCUCUACCAACACUGCAUACCAACGUGACUGAAUGUUAUCGUUCCUUAGAUGCCCUAUCAAAUUCUUGCUUGACUUUUUGGUUUUGUAUGCUCGGAUGUAUGUUUCAGUUCCUACAUGGUAUUUCUCAUGUGGAGUUGAAACCACACUUGGUUGGUCCAAUAGCAAAUAAUCAUAUGUUUCACUCUGAAAUCAUAUUGCAUAUAGAGUGAUGUUACGUUCUUGUGCAAAUUACUGCACACAUAUACAUGGAGUUACCUGAAAAAGUCUCACACUUGGGCUCCUGCAAGUAACACUGUCUCUCGCUUGUAGAGUUUGCAAGUGGUUAUAAUUGUCAUACUACUAGGUAACAGCCUUACUCGAAUCAGCCUUGACCUUGUAUAAUAUACAUAGUUAUUUGGUGCAUGGUAUUUUUUAGUGAAUUUGAUCAAAACUGUUAUUUUAAGUACAUUUGUACUUUAGUUGUUUAUUCAAAUAAAUUUCCCAGUAAGUUGAUUUUAUAGCAUGGUCAUAACGUUGACAUUAUGAAUUGAUUUGUGAAGCACAAAAACACAAUAACAGUUGGGAGGGUUGCUUUGUAUCCCUAGACCCACACCCACACCCGACCGCCAUCUCCCAUUUUCCUCAGUAUCGCGACCUGAUGCGACGUUGGCAGCGCAAUCAGUCGGAGGAGGCCAGCGGUGGGGAAAGGUCGCUCGUCAUCGCGGCACCAGCAAUUCCACGAUCGCAUAAUACCCGAAUGUUGAUGACCUCCAGAACUCUCCGGCCUCCUCCCAUCAGGCGUACUAUUGUUCAAGAUAGUGUGUGUGACAUAUGUGGGAACGGGGAGGAAGAUGAAUAUCAUGUUGUUAUAUCAUGCACAAAAAGUAAGGCGUUCAGAUUUGCCAUGAGGAAAGAAUGGAGGCUUCCAGAAGAAAAGGAGUUCUGGUACACUGGAACAGACUGGCUACAAAUCCUACUGGACAAGUAUGAUUCAGAGAUAAGAAAGAAAAUUCUGCUGUUGUUAUGGAGAGCCUGGUUUCUACGAGAUAACUGUAUCCACAGUGAUGGCAAAGAAACCAUUUCGAGAUCGGUGAUGUUCCUUGUGCAGUAUGAGGAGGAAAUCAGGAAUUUGUCGCUAUCUGUUGUUGGACAGGGAAACAAGAGUUGCUGGUCCCUGUCUGCAUCUAUGCAGACACACCACACCUAGGAAUCAGCCGAACGCCGAGCCAAAUGCCCAGUGGAAAGAGCCGCCUGAAGGUGUUGUAAAACUGAACACUGACGCUGCCUUUUUGUCAGGCACGGGCCAAGCCUAGGCUGGCGCGAUCGCACGGGAUCAUACGGGGCAUGUUGUCUUCUCGGCGAGUAAAUCGAUGAAUAAAUGCAGAUCAGUUGAAGAGGCAGAGGGGCAAGCUAUCCUGAUGGGUCUGGUAUCGCUGUCGAGACCGUACCAAGGCCCACUGAUCAUUGAGACUGACAUCAAAAUGAUUGCAAAUGAAUUGGGACAAGCCAGAUCAAGCCGAUCGGAUUGUUUUCUGGGUUGUCAGUGAGAUUAAAAACACAAGCCGGAUCUUCAGUUCAGGCCAAGGCCAUGAAAAGGGAACAAAACUGUCUAGCACAUGAGCUUGGCUGCCAGAGCUAGACGGCAUCAGGACUCACUGAUAAUUGCGGACGUGCCCGAGGAGCUUCGUUCGCUGAUGCUAUCUGAAUGUACCAAGUGAUGUGUUUGGUCCUUUUUUAGGCUAUCUUGAACGAUUGCAGGUUUUAAUCAAGAAGUCCUCAAUAGGUGGACUGGCUCAAAAUGGAGAAGCACGCUGGUAGCUUUUUGGUUGAUUGUAUUAAGCAUUUAAGUUCGUAGCAAUUCAUACCAUCAAUAUCUUUGGGGGUGCCUUGUACUCCUUCCGUAAAAUAAUACAAGAGCGUAGUGAUCUAAACGCUCUUAUAUUAUAGUUUACAGAGGGAGUAAUAUUUUAGAAAAUUAUGCCUUUUUUGGCCUAAUGUGGCGUGCUGUCCAUAGACAUCCUUACCCCAUUUCCUCCUCACAUAUGGCUUGGGUUUUGGGAUAGCAAGACAUACGAAGACAAUUUGGGGGUGCCGAUUCUCUCUCUCCCUCUUGCUAAUAGAAUUAUGAACAACCGGUAAGACUAAUAUUAUAGACCAUGUAUUCUUUGACUUUUGUGCUAACACAGGAAAAAUGUGUUGUAAA